UAGUUUUUUUAGAAAUAAAUUUAAUUUACAAAUUUUUAAUUUUUGAUUUAUUUUUUUUAAUUUAAAAAUUUAUUAAUUUGAAUAUUUUAAGGGAUAAGCUUUAAAAUAAAAUAUUAAAAAUCAUUGAAUAAUUUAUUUAAAAUGUAUGCAUAGAAUUAGCAAUCAUUUAUAAGUUUGUUAUAAAUUAUUUUAUAAUUUUAUAUUAUUUAAUUUUAUUUUCAUUGAAUUUAUAAAAAUUUUUUUAUUAAUUUUAAAAUAAAAAGUAAUAAUGAUCAAAUUAGUAUAUUUAAUUAUAUUGUUAAAAUAUUUUAUAUUGAGAAGUUUAUAUAAAGAACUCGGCAAAUUUUAUUUAUACUCGCCUGUUUAACAAAAACAUGUCUUUUUGAAUUAAAUUUAAAGUCUGACCUGCCCACUGAAUAAUUUUAAAUGGCCGCAGUAUUUUGACUGUGCAAAGGUAGCAUAAUCAUUAGUCUUUUAAUUGGAGGCUGGUAUGAACGGUUGGACGAAGUAUAAGCUGUUUCAUAUAAAUUUAUAAUAGAAUUUUAUAUUUUAGUUAAAAAGCUAAAAUUUUAUUAAAAGACGAGAAGACCCUAUAAAUCUUUAUAUUUAAUAUAAACUAAAUUUUUUUGAUUUAUUUUAUUUUUUUUAUAUUAAUUAUUUUGUUGGGGUGAUAUUAAAAUUUAAUGAACUUUUAAUUUUUUAAAUCAUUAAUUUAUGAAUUAUUGAUCCAUUAAUAUUGAUUAUAAGAUUAAGUUACUUUAGGGAUAACAGCGUAAUUUUUUUUGAGUAUUCAUAUCGACAAAAAAGUUUGCGACCUCGAUGUUGGAUUAAGGUAUAAUUUUGGGUGUAGCCGUUCAAAAAUUAAGUCUGUUCGACUUUUA
rnacentral:rRNA from 1 species